rnacentral:rRNA from 1 species
UACGAAGGGGGCUAGCGUUGCUCGGAGUUACUGGGCGUAAAGCGCACGUAGGCGGAUUGUUAAGUCGGGGGUGAAAUCCUGGAGCUCAACUCCAGAACUGCCUUCGAUACUGGCGAUCUCGAGUUCGGGAGAGGUGAGUGGAACUGCGAGUGUAGAGGUGAAAUUCGUAGAUAUUCGCAAGAACACCAGUGGCGAAGGCGGCUCACUGGCCCGAUACUGACGCUGAGGUGCGAAAGCGUGGGGAGCAAACAGG